GACGAACGCUGGCGGCGUGCCUAAUACAUGCAAGUCGAACGCAGUGGGGACGGGUGAGUAACACGUGGGUAACCUCCCAUCCGAGGGGAUAACACUUGGAAACAGGUGCUAAACCGAUACUGAUGGAUGGACACGCGGUGCAUUAGCUAGGUGGGGAGUGAACGGCCCACCAAGGCCAUGAUGCAUAGCCGACCUGAUGGGGUGAUCGGCCACACUGUGACUGGGACACGGCCCAGACGCCUCCGGGAGGCAGCAGUGGGGAAUAUUGCACAAUGGGCGCAAGCCUGAUGCAGCCAUGCCGCGUGUAUGAAGAAGGCCUUAGGGUUGUAAAGUACUUUCAGCGGGGAGGCGUUACCCGUAGAAGAAGCACCGGCUAACUCCGUGCCAGCCGCCGCGGUAAUAC
rnacentral:rRNA from 1 species